GACGAACGCUGGCGGCGUGCCUAAUACAUGCAAGUCGAACGCAGUGGGGACGGGUGAGUAACACGUGGGUAACCUCCCAUCAGAGGGGAUAACACUUGGAAACAGGUGCUAAACCGAUACUGAUGGAUGGACCCCCGGUGCAUUAGUUAGUUGGUGAGGUAACGGCUCACCACGGCCACGAUGCAUAGCCGACUUGAGAGGGUGAUCGGCCACACUGGGACUGAGACACGGCGCAGACUCCUAAGGGAGGCAGCAGUAGGGAAUAUUAGGAAAUGGACGAAAGUCUGACCGAGCAACGCCGCGUGAGUGAAGAAGGUGUUCGGAUCGUAAAGCUCUGUGGUUAAGGAAGCGGUACUUAACCAGAAAGGGACGGCGAACUACGUGCCAGCAGCCGCGGUAAUAC
rnacentral:rRNA from 1 species